GACAGGGAACAGUACCGUGACGGAAAGGCCAACAUAACCCCGGAGAGGGGAGUGAAAGAGAACCUGAACCGGUAUGCGUACAAGCAGUGGGGGCCUACUUGUUAGGUGACAGCGUACCUUUUGUAUAAUGGGUCAGCGACUUAUAUUGAGUGGCAAGCUUAACCGUAUAGGGUAGGCGUAGCGAAAGCGAGUCUUAAUAGGGCGUUUAGUCGAUGGGUAUAGACCCGAAACCGGGCGAUCGAUCCAUGAGCAGGUUGAGGGUUAGGUAACACUGACUGGAGGACCGAACCCACUCCCGUUGAAAAGGUAGGGGAUGACUUGUGGAUCGGAGUGAAAGGCUAAUCAAACUCGGAGAUAGCUGGUUCUCCUCGAAAUCUAUUUAGGUAGCGCCUCAUGUAUCACUCUGGGGGGUAGAGCACUGUUUCGGCUCGGGUGUCAUCCCGACUUACCAAACCGAUGCAAACUCCGAAUACCCAGAAGUGCCGAGCAUGGGAGACACACGCAGGGUGCUAACGUCCGUAGUGAAAAGGGAA
rnacentral:rRNA from 1 species